CACGAAGGGUGCAAGCGUUAAUCGGAAUUACUGGGCGUAAAGGGUGCGUAGGCGGUUCGUUAAGUCUGUCGUGAAAUCCCCGGGCUCAACCUGGGAAUGGCGAUGGAUACUGGCGAGCUAGAGUGUGUCAGAGGAUGGUGGAAUUCCCGGUGUAGCGGUGAAAUGCGUAGAGAUCGGGAGGAACAUCAGUGGCGAAGGCGGCCAUCUGGGACAACACUGACGCUGAAGCACGAAAGCGUGGGGAGCAAACAGG
rnacentral:rRNA from 1 species